rnacentral:rRNA from 1 species
CGUCUGAUAGAGAGUCAGGGCGUGAACCGCUUAGAAGAAAACGGACGGAGCCGUCUAAGUCCUUUGGGACUCAGUCGUACGAUUUCGCGAGGGUGCCUUACGUUCGGAAUGGAGAGUCCGACUAGGGUGCUAGUAGUAGCAAUCGUUCGGCGCAUUUCCCGAAGGUGAGCACUGUGACCGAUACGCUGGCCAGUGGAGCGAUUCGAUCGAGGUGGAGUCCCGCAAGGCAUUCCAAACCAGUCUUAUCGCCCGACUCGCUGGACCGCAGUACCGGGUGCCUUAUUCGUACCGGCGAAAACGCUCGUUGAGUGGUGGAUCGUUCGUCGAUCGAUUGGUUCUUGCUCGCAGGAGCUAGUCGAUUUGGUGGACGUUUGAAACUACCAGCGACAUUCGGUAUUUAGGCGUCGACAGUGUCAGUGUCGGCCACCCAUCCGACCCGUCUUGAAACACGGACCAAGGAGUCUAACAUAUGCGCGAGCUAAUGGGUGGAAAACCCAUAAGCGCAAUAAACGUAAAGCCUGUUUCAGACAGGUAAGAUACGAUCCUAGAGUAUUCACAUGCUUUAGGCGCAGUAUCGUCCCAUCUAAACCGCAUAUCGGUUGGGUGGAGAUAGAGUGCAUACGUUGGGACCCGAAAGAUGGUGAACUAUGCCUGAGCAGAGCGAAGCCAGAGGAAACUCUGGUGGAGGUUCGUAGCGGUUCUGACGUGCAAAUCGAUCGUCAGACUGGGUAUAGAGCGGCGUCCGUAUU